GCUGUUCUAAUAAUCACACAUAUCUUCGUGGUGAGUAGCGGCAACGAUUUUAUGGUCGGCUGAGAUGUGAUA
rnacentral:ribozyme from 1 species